CAGUAGCCGCGGUAAUACGUAGGGUGCAAGCGUUAAUCGGAAUUACUGGGCGUAAAGCGUGCGCAGGCGGUUUGUUAAGACAGAUGUGAAAUCCCCGGGCUCAACCUGGGAACUGCAUUUGUGACUGGCAGGCUAGAGUAUGGCAGAGGGGGGUGGAAUUCCGCGUGUAGCAGUGAAAUGCGUAGAUAUGCGGAGGAACACCGAUGGCGAAGGCAGCCCCCUGGGCCAAUACUGACGCUCAUGCACGAAAGCGUGGGGAGCAAACAGGAUUAGAUACCCGGGUAGUCCCUGUCUCUUAUAC
rnacentral:rRNA from 1 species